UUGUCGAGACCCUGCCCAGCAGAAGGACCGGGAAAC
rnacentral:rRNA from 1 species